GUAACAUAUCAUACGAAUUGUAAUGUAACAUAUCAAAUAAAAUGGAGGAUAGAUAUCCACAAAUUAAUAGAUACCAUACCAUAUGUAUCAUAAUAAUUUCAGUUUACUAUGCUACGUCUAACCUUGAGUCCAGAUUGGGAGGGAGGGGGUUCCCGGGAGCUGGUCGCAUGAGAGCCAGGGAGGGUGCUAUCCCUCUAUAAUUUAAUCACAUUUGGCUGUCUCCCUGUUCUCAGCCUGCACGGUAAAGCAAGCUAGGCACCGCGGUGACACACACACAGACAGAGAAACAGACACACACACUCUCUCCCGCUCUCUCUAUCCCACCUCUCUCUCCCGCUUUCUCUCCCCUCACUCUCUGACCAACACACUCGUGAUAAGCAAAACAUUUCCUUCCUCAUCCUGUCACCAGAAAAUUAUACAGAACAUCCCUUCACCAUACAGCCUCAGUCGGUCAUCAUGUCAGAACAUCCCUUCACCAUACAGCCUGAGUCUGUCAUCAUGUCAGAACAUCCCUUCACCAUACAGCCUCAGCCGGUCAUCAUGUCAGAACAUCCCUUCACCAUACAGCCUCAGCCGGUCAUCAUGUCAGAACAUCCCUUCACCAUACAGCCUCAGCCGGUCAUCAUGUCAGAACAUCCCUUCACCAUACAGCCCCAGCCAGUCAUCAUGUCAGAAUAUCCCUUCACCAUACAGCCUCAGUCAGUCAUCAUGUCAGAACAUCCCUUCACCAUACAGCCUGAGUCAGUCAUCAUGUCAGAACAUCCCUUCACCAUACAGCCUCAGCCAGUCAUCAUGUCAGAACAUCCCUUCACCAUACAGCCUCAGCCAGUCAUCAUGUCAGAACAUCCCUUCACCAUACAGCCUCAGUCGGUCAUCAUGUCAGAACAUCCCUUCACCAUACAGCCUCAGUCGGUCAUCAUGUCAGAACAUCCCUUCACCAUACAGCCUCAGUCAGUCAUCAUGUCAGAACAUCCCUUCACCAUACAGCCUCAGCUAGACAUCAUGUCAGAACAGCCCUUCACAUGCAGUCUCAGCUGGACAAAAUGUCCCUUCACCAUGCAACUUCAGCUGGACAUCAUGUCAACAUUUCCCUGACUCCCCCCAGUUCUAUAAAAUGUGUACAUUGUGUACAGCAUAUUGAGAUCUACAUCCCUAAGGCUAUGGGGAAAUACUAAUGAUCUAUCUUAAUAUGCAAUGUAAUAAUCCAGCAGUGACACAAUAUGGAUUUCUUUCUGGAACCCAUUUGAUUUCCAUUUCUAAAUAGCCAGAUUAUAGAACAUUUGUAGACAGAAUUUGUGCAUUCAUCAUUAUUCCCCCCCACACACACAAAGUCAAUUGCUGGUUAACAAAAAGAGGAGGAGACAGGCACAUAAUUAUUUCCGUUCAUUUUUAGAUUUAGAGCUUUUUUGUAAAUGUUUGUUUUCUUCACCCAGAGAGACAUGUUGCAGUGCCUCAGCCUUUUGCUCUGUGCCAUGGUACCAUGGUGCCACCCACCAGUGGCAUGACAAUGGGCCUCAGGAUCUCAUCACGGUAUCUGCAUUCAAAUUGCCAUUGAUAAAAUUCAAUUGUGUUGGUUGUCCGUAAAUUGUGUUGGUUGUCCUGCCCAUACCAUAACCCCACUGCCACCAUGGGGCACUUUGCCCAUAUGUCUGAUAUCUGCCCAGUACAGUUGAAACCGGGAUUCAUCCGUGAAGAGCACACUUCUCCAGUGUGCCAGUGGCCAUCGAAGGUGAGCAUUUGCACACUGAAGUCUGUACCGACGCCGAACUGCAGUCAGGUCAAGACCCUGGUGAGGACGAUGAGCAUGCAGAUGAGCUUCCCUGAGCUUCCCUGAGGUUUCUAACAGUUUGUGCAGAAAUCUUCCUGUUGUGCCACAGUUUCAUCCCACAGGUAAAGAAGCAGGAUGUGGAGAUCCUGGGUUGGCGUAGUUACAUGUAGUCUGCGGUUGUGAGGCCAGUUGGACAUACUGCCAAAUUCUCUAAAAGGAUAUUGGAGGCAGCUUAAGGUAGACAAAUGAACAUUUAACUCUUUGGCAACAGCUCGGGUGGACUUUCCUGCAGUCAGCAUACCAAUUGCAAACUCCCUCAGAACUUGAGACUUCUUUGGCAUUGUACUGUGUGACAAAACUGCACAUUUUAGAGUAGCAUUUUAUUGUACCAAGCACGAGGUGCACCUGUGUAAUGAUCAUGCUGUUUAAUCAGCUUCUUGAUAUGCCACACCUGUCAGGUGGAUAGAUUAUAUGGCAAAGGAGAAAGGCUCACUAAAAGGAAUGUAAACAAAUUUAUGCCCAGAAAUUGAGAGAAAUAAGCGUUUUGUACAUGUAGAACAUUUCUAGAAUCUUCUAUUUCAGCUCAUGAAACAUGGGACCAACACUUUACAUUUUGCGUUCCUAUUUUUGUUCAGUAUAGUUAACCAUGUACGAGAAUUCAAAACAGUGCAACACUUUGCCUCGGAAAUGUAAUAUAUCCUUUCAAUGUUAGCUGCAUGCUAUAAAGGAAUAAUAACAAUGUAGAGCAUUCAAAGGUUUGUUAAGGCAUCAAAUCUCCAAAACAAUAUAAAACAUGAAUAUCAACAAUAUGAAAAUACAACAGAAAGUAGAAGUAUUCCAGAAGGAGUUUAACACUCUACUUGCCGUUCAAUCAAACAACUCAGCUAAACAAAGCUUGGCAUCAGAGAUUCCAGUGUAAAGCACAAUAUACAGUGAGUACACAUUUCAUAUCAAAAUUCUAAAUAUCUAAAUAAGCUGAGACUCAAGCAAUUCAAAGCAAGUGUCAUACUGCUUAGUUCACUAUCUUAAAUUCUAAGUAAUAUCCUCCUUCAGUUUUAGCUAUAACCCUCUUUUGACAAUCUACAAACGUAUCAUUGACAGAAGCCAAAGCACUCACAAGAAGAUUGAAAGAAGAAGAGUAACCCACCAGUCUCAGAAUGCAGUCUUCUCCCAAACUUCUUUAUGCUCCAGUAUGUCCGUCCUCUUUUCUUUCUUUCUUUUUCCCUUCUUCUCUUUUCUUCUUUCUUUCUUUCUUUCUUUCUUUCUUUCUUUCUUUCUUUCUUUCUUUCUUUCUUUCUUUCUUUCUUUCUUUCUUUCUUUCUUUCUUUCUUUCUUUCUUUCUGUCUUUCUUUCUGUCUUUCUUUCUUUACUUAUCUUUUAUCCCACUCGUUCUUUACCCCUCACACACUCACACUGCUCCCUGAAAACUUAUCAUGUCCUCCUGUAUGCAAAUAAUUUUGACUUGAGAGUCGGCUGGAGAUGAGGGAACAAGGGAGAAAAAGAGGAGAGAGGCAAGAGAUAGAAAGAGGAAGACGGAAGGAGGAGAGAAGAUAAUGGUUGAAGGCAGGCAACCAAUGGGCCUGGAGCUUAAUGGAAAAAAAGGAAUGAGGGCAGCACCAAUGAGGCGAAGCGGAAGGGAGAGAGAGAUGAGGGAGGAGAGGCGGCGAAGGUAAGGAUGGUGAGAGAGCGCACAGCCGAGAGGAAAGCGCGAAGGAGAGUGUGGAGCGGCAGACAGAGACAGAGAGAGAGAGAGAGAGAGAGAGAGAGAGAGGGAGGAAAAAAAAGCAGAGGAUGUGCGUUGCAGGGGCUAGGUACCCCAGUGAGAUAGAGAGACUGCAGAAGAGAAGAGAGGGAGAGAAGGAACCGUGUGUGGCUUACCGUAGUGUAGAUGGCAUUCUCAGACAGCCACGCAGACAGACUCCUCACCCAGCGAGACUCACACAGCACAGCACACCGUACCAAGACUGAUGAAUGACAAAAACAACAAAGGAGAAGAACACCAAGCCGCCUGGUACCCUAAAGCAAGAGUGCGUCUGUGAGUGUAUGUAUGUGUGAGAGUGUGAGUGCGAUCAUGUUCAUGUGUGUGUGUGUGGGGGGAUACGUGCUGAGAGGAGAGAGAGAGUCUUUCUUUCUCUCUCACUGUGUAUAUGUAUGUAUUUGAGAAGAACACAUAUCCCUGUUUCUCUCCCUCUCCCACAAUCUAGCUCUACUGCUCUCUCUCUCUCUCUCUCUCUUUCUCUCUCUCUCUCUCUGACUCUCGCUCUCUCGCUCUGACUCUCUCUCUCUGACUCUGACUCUCUCUCUCUCUCUCUCUCUCUCUCUCUCUCUCUCUCUCUCUCUCUCUCUCUCUCUCUCUCUCUCUCUCUCUCUCUCCCUGUCCUACAUGUAUUCAAGGCUGCAGACAGUCUGCUCCCAGCGUCAGUUCUUC
ensembl:lncRNA